rnacentral:rRNA from 1 species
UACGGGGGGAGCAAGCGUUGUUCGGAUUCAUUGGGCGUAAAGGGUGCGUAGGCGGCGCGGUAAGUCGGGUGUGAAAUCUCGGAGCUUAACUCCGAAACUGCAUUCGAUACUGCCGUGCUUGAGGACUGGAGAGGAGACUGGAAUUUACGGUGUAGCGGUGAAAUGCGUAGAUAUCGUAAGGAAGACCAGUGGCGAAGGCGGGUCUCUGGACAGUUCCUGACGCUGAGGCACGAAGGUCAGGGGAGCAAACGGG